rnacentral:lncRNA from 1 species
AUGGGUAUUCAACUUCAAAGAGGUGAAGUUGGGAUGGAGUUCAACAUUCCUUCAAAUGGACGUGACUGCUUGAAACGCUCUCUGUGUCAUUUGGGUGAUGUGUACAUCGCCCCCCGUCCCUUGCUCUCUCACCCACCCUCACCACUCCUCACGUGGUAUGCACGCUGGAACUUCCUCCCAGGGGCAGCCUCAGCCUUGCUUGCCUUUCUGCCUUGUGCUGGGGAAAUCUCAGCCAUUUUCCUGUGCACCAAGGAGGGAGCCCUGCCAAGCAGCUGGGGUGGAAUGAAAACUCCAGGUGUUUGCAGAGGCUCUCCUCACCCCUUGUGUAUGGGCUGGUACUCUUUUUGGGGACUCUGUGAUUGGGACAGUGAGUAAAGAAGGCCAGAAUCCUACCCAGGGACCCACCAGACUGGAUACACAGGUGCUUUGGUGGGAGUGUGUUGCUCAGGGGAAUCCACCAGGGCCCGAGAUUGCAGUCAUUCAGCCCCUCUCCCCACCGCAGACCUUAGAGAACACAGUGCUGACAGCUAGGCUGUGGCACUGCUUCAGUCCUUUCCCUGCAUUUGUUGGCAGAAACCCUCUCCACGUUUGUUGAUGUCGCUCUCACUUGUUCAGCUGUGUUCUACUCUUUGCCCCCUGUGGACGUAGCCCCCCAGGCUCCUCUGGCCAUGGGGAUUCUCAGGCAAGAAUACUGGAGUGAGUUGCCAUCUCCUUCUCUGGGGGAUCUUUCCAAACAGGGAUAGAACCUGCAUCUGCUGCAUUGGCAGGCAGAUUCUUUACCACUGAGCCACCUGGAAGCUUUUGUCGAGGGGAGGGUAUAAAUGCCAGUGUUUGAAGUGGGCGGUGGGGUGGGUAUUUGUGGACCGCCAGGCCAUGCACUGUUACCUUUGAGACCAAACAAACUGCAGCCCCGCCUUUGAUCAGGUGGAGAUAAGAUUGGAUUAAGACCUUUUUUUUUUUUACUAAUACUAGACUCUGACCACCCCCAACCCCUCAUUUUCAACAAUGGACUUAAUACUCUUGAGCACCUACUGUGUGUCAUGCGGUUUACCCACAUCACUUUCUCAUGCAGCCCUCGGAACCGCCCA